rnacentral:misc_RNA from 1 species
GAUUAAGAACGUAGCGAAAUGCGAUAAGUAAUGUGAAUUGCAGAAUUCAGUGAAUCAUCGAAUCUUUGAACGCACAUUGCGCCCGCCAGUAUUCUGGCGGGCAUGCCUGUUCGAGCGUCAUUUCAACCAUCAAGCCCCCGGCUUGUGUUGGGGACCUGCGGCUGCCGCAGGCCCUGAAAUGCAGUGGCGGGCUCGCUGUCACUCCGAGCGUAGUAGUUACAUCUCGCUCUGGGCGUGCUGCGGGUUCCGGCCGUUAAAAGCCUUAUUUACCCAAGGUUGACCUCGGAUCAGGUAGGAAGACCCGCUGAACUUAAGCAUAUCAAUAAGCGGAGGA